rnacentral:lncRNA from 1 species
AAAAAUGCUAAGUCCACAGGUCACCCUUCAAGCUAUACAUCCGUGAUAUAACUGACCAAAUGGUGCAAGGACAGAUAUCGAAAUUGUGGAUCUCUUUAUCUGCUCAACCAUUGAUGUGAUGUAGGCAAUGGGAUCCGUUAAGAGCUUGAUUGCGUUGAUGAUUAUGAGAAAGAAGCUUCCUUUUUUGACAUGUCAUGGUUACUACUAGCAAAUGCC